GAUGAAGACGUAGCGAAAUGCGAUAAGUAAUGUGAAUUGCAGAAUUCAGUGAAUCAUCGAAUCUUUGAACGCACAUUGCGCCCGCCAGUAUUCUGGCGGGCAUGCCUGUUCGAGCGUCAUUUCAACCAUCAAGCCCCCGGCUUGUGUUGGGGACCUGCGGCUGCCGCAGGCCCUGAAAAGCAGUGGCGGGCUCGCUGUCACACCGAGCGUAGUAGCAUACAUCUCGCUCUGGGCGUGCUGCGGGUUCCGGCCGUUAAACCACCUUCAUAACCCAAGGUUGACCUCGGAUCAGGUAGGAAGACCCGCUGAACUUAAGCAUAUCAAUAAGCGGAGGA
rnacentral:misc_RNA from 1 species